rnacentral:rRNA from 1 species
CUCGUAGGUGGCCAACUAAGUCAGACGUGAAAUCCCUCAGCUUAACUGGGGAACUGCGUCUGAUACUGGAUGGCUUGAGAUUGGGAGAGGGAUGCGGAAUUCCAGGUGUAGCGGUGAAAUGCGUAGAUAUCUGGAGGAACACCGGUGGCGAAGGCGGCAUCCUGGACCAACACUGACACUGAGGAGCGAAAGACCGAGGGGAGACAAAC